rnacentral:snRNA from 1 species
AUUUCUUCUUGGACUUUUGGCUAAGAUCAAGUAGUAUCUGUUCUUACUAGUUUGAAAAGUAAAACCUAUCAUAGAGAGUUAUGAGGAAACAGGAUAAAAUUACU